rnacentral:rRNA from 1 species
AUGCAAGUCGAAUGCCGAUUUAUCGGCAUGGCAGACGGCUGAGUAAUACAUGGGAAUCUACCUCAAACUCGAGAAUAGCCCAUCGAAAGGUGGUGUAAUACUCGAUAGUUCCGUUUACGGUAAAGCUCCGGCGGUUUGAGAUGAGCCCAUGUCCUAUCAGGUUGUUGGUAGGGUAAUUGCCUACCAAGCCUAUGACGGGUAGCUGGUUUGAGAGGAUGAUCAGCCAGACUGGGACUGCGAUACGGCCCAGACUCCUACGGGAGGCAGCAACUGGGAAUCAUGCGCAAUGGACGAAAGUCUGACGCUGCGACGUCGCGUGAGGGAUGAAGGUCUUCGGAUCGUAAACCUCUUUUAUCUGGGAACAAGUUCUGAGUGUACCAGAUGAAUAAGUGCCUGCCAACCACGUGCCAGAAGCAUCGGUAAUGCGUGGGGCACGAGCGUUAUCCGGAUUUACUGGGCGUAAAGAGAUGCGUAGGCGCCUUUUUAAGUCACUUGUAAAAUCUCCCCGCUCAACGGGGAAACUGCAAGUGAUACUGAAUUGGUUGAGUCAAGUAGAGGAGAGGGGAAUUCCUGGUGGAGCGGCUAAAUGCGUUGAUAUCAGGAGGAAUACCAAGUGCGAAGGCACCUCUCUGGACUUGUACUGACGCUAAGGCUCGAAAGUGUGGGGAGCAAAACGGAUUAGAUACCCGUGUAGUCCACACUGUAAACGAUCCCUGCUAGAUGUUUGC